rnacentral:rRNA from 1 species
AAAUUGAAGAGUUUGAUCAUGGCUCAGAUUGAACGCUGGCGGCAGGCCUAACACAUGCAAGUCGAACGGUAGCACAGAGAGCUUGCUCUCGGGUGACGAGUGGCGGACGGGUGAGUAAUGUCUGGGAAACUGCCCGAUGGAGGGGGAUAACUACUGGAAACGGUAGCUAAUACCGCAUAAUGUCGCAAGACCAAAGUGGGGGACCUUCGGGCCUCACACCAUCGGAUGUGCCCAGAUGGGAUUAGCUU